GCUGUCUUUCCCCCUGAAGGCAUGAGGGGAGGACAGAGAACAGGAGGGGCUUGUGGACAAACUUAAAUUUUAAAACUAAUCUGGUGCUAGAAGGGGGAAGGCAAACGAUGUUUGAUAUGGGAUAAAAAUACAACUCCCUUAAAUCUCUUAGAGUCUGGCUUAACCUUGCUCUGACUCUGCGAAGGAAGGAUGAGCUUGAAUUAGAAACAGAAUGUUCUUUCUUGUCUAGCCUCUCUGAGCCGCCAACACUGCUCUAUCAUAGCAGUGAGACUGAGUCUUACAUAUUGAUUUCUGGCUAUUAAGGUGGGACUUUCCUCCUUUCUCCUCCAUUAAUAUGGAGAGCAAAAUACUGGAAUGGCUCCAAGACGAUCUUUGGCUGAUUGAACUCAAGGCACGAGGUGGUAGCGAUGACUUCACUGUUUUCUAUACUGAAACAAUUACAAUGAAGUAGCAACAAGGGAGAAGCACAGCAGAAGAAGGGCUCUGGGCAAAACACAAGAUUGGUGUGUUGCAGGAAGUGCUGGUCAGCUGAUGUGGAGGGCUGAACAUUACAAGGAUGGAAAAGUGAAGAUUUCUGCAGGGUUUUCCUGAGCAUUGAUGCCAAACUGAUUGGUCUGAUUUUGAAGAUUGGAACCAGAUCAGCUCUUUUCCAGACCUCUGGUAGUUCCCCCAUGCUCUAGGAACUGUGAAAGAUUUUGCUCAUCUGCCAGCACAUUCAGAACCCUGAUCCAGGGAAUUGGAACUGUAGUUGAAUGGAUUUGACUCUUGCACUACUGUAACCUAUCAGGCAGCGACUACUACUUUUCUAGUGACUACUUCGCCCAGAAGCCCUGUCUAUCCUUCCUUUCUUCACAUAUUAUAUUCUUAAAGAGUUCUUAUGGAUUGCAGCUCACCUUUACAGCCCUUUCUUCAGCUCUUGGACAGUACUUAUCCAACAGCUGUACAUAUCCAGAUGGCGUCUUGAGAGCGGUCAAAAGACUAAAAAACUAACUGUAUGUAGAUGCCAGAGGUAGAUAAACAAUAAAUCAUCUGCAGCUACCAGACUCCUUUUUGCUAGAGACCUACCAAGCCCCCCCCUAACAUUUCAGUAGCAAAAUCACUGAAUAAUGAUUAUGCAAUUCUUUGGUUUUUUUUUAGCAGAAAAUCAAAUAACAUUUAUAUUUUAUAAGCAUUUCUCCAAACUGUAGGAAAUUUCAAGGACAUUUUGUCCCUAGUUCUAAUUUUAAAAACAAGUGACCCAGAAAAGUACAAUCGCUCAAGUGAUGUUGCGCUGAAAAACUGAGGUGGCCCUGCUUUAAACAUAUAAAACCAUUUUUACAGCAGAUGAGAAACUUCAAAGCAAGGACAGACACCUUCUAUGCCAUAAUUAUACCAGCAAUAAUCUACAGCUGUGAAAUGUGGAACCUAAGAAAAUAGGAAAUAGAGAAACUGAAUAAUGCAGCAUGUGAUGGAGAGGCAAGCGCUAAAGGUCUUGUUCAGAGACAAGAAUUCCAAAAUACAAAAAUUCCUUGCAACUUCAAAUAUGUCAUCAAAGUAGCCUAAAAACAGAAAGAUGAAUGGUCAGGAAAUUUAUUCGCAUACAUGGCAACAGAUGGGCCUGAAAGAUGGCAUACUGUUCAAUCAACGACUUUGUAAAUCUAUCAAGUUGAUCACUCCUACGAGAUGGAGAGAGGAAAUACAGAAAAACCUUGAUUCCAGUUGGAAUAUCAUAGCAUAGGACCAUACGCAAUGCAAACACCUGCUGAUAUUCUUGCUUUGGACAGUGAACGCAUCUGAAUAAAUGUGAUGAUCGAAUAUCAACAUUUAAUAAAUGUCUGAAAUCGGAGAAUUCAACAAAAAAUACCAUCUGUCUAAUAAUGUUAAUUGGAUUCCUGUUUUGCCCUGUGUGAACCUUGCUUGCAAAAAAAACCCAGCAGCAGCAACAACAAUAAUGCCUUUCUUUCUUUAGAGCAGCUGUAAAUAUGAUGGGAGACCUAGGCUAGAUGUUUUCAGGGAAGGCACACUUGGUUUUCAAUACAGAGGCUUGUUCCAGCCCUUCGUGCUCAGCUAUGAAGCCUGGUGUUCAGAGUUUUGGUGACCUUAGUCUCCAUAAAUUGCUAUUUAAUACAAGACUGGCUUAUGAGUCCCAGAUCAUCUAUGAUUUAAUCUUGGAUGAGAGGCUGAUCCAGAAUACAUUACUGAAAACUGGUGUGGCACAGAAAGGAGGAUCCCUCUCUUGGAAACCUUGUAGGUUUCAGGUAUGGUACUAGCCACAGUUCCAGUACAGGCAGAGGUGGGAUGUUGCCGAUUUGGACCAGUUCAUCUGAACUGGUAGUUCCGAUUCUGUGCAGUUUGGAGAACCAGCAAAUCAGGCCACCAUCUGGCCCCGCCCUGCCCAUUUUUCAGGCUGUUUUCCAGCCAAAAUCUGCCUGAAAACGGCCUGAAAAAUGGCCUGAAAAAUAGCCCCAAAAAACAGGGCAUUUUCCAGAAUAUUUUCAGGCAGAUUUUUGAGCCGUUUUCAACCAUUUUUCAUGUGAAAAAAAUGGCCUGAAAAUGGCCUGAAAAAUGCCCACAAAACAGGCCAUUUUCAGGCUGUUUUUCCAACCAAAAUCAGCCUGAAAACCAUCCUGAAACCAUCCUGAAAAAUGCCUGAAAACAGCCCCCAAAACACCCAAAAACAGCUUACCCAGCUCUCUUCCUCUUGCAGACAGCUUUCCCAUUCUACCUUGAUGCAGUCUCUCUCUCUCUCUUUCUCUCUUUCUCUCACACACACACACACGCACACAAACAGAUUGGAUCUUUCUUUCCUCCUGCCCCCCACCCCCACCCCCGGGAUUCUCUCCCCAACCAUGCCUGUCCCAUACAGGUACCACCCACACAAGUGACUUAGAGUUGGCCAUGCCCAUUCAGUCACGUGACCCACUCCCAGCCACACCCACCGAGCCAUGCCUACCCAGCCAAGUACCGGUUGUUAAGAAAUUUGGAACCCACCACUGAGUACAGGAUUGGGAUUGUAAUUAUUGCCAAAGAAAGUCCAGUUGCCUUUGGAAAAUGCACCUUUGGGACAACUAUGAGCUGGAUGACUGAGAAUCACCAUAUACAUAUUGCCAUCUAGGAAUCUCUGGUAACUUUUAGGGUGCAGUUCUGGAUAUAAUUCAGUGUGAGACCCUCUUUGUGAAAUUGGGUGAUAAAGGUCCGAUGGAAUUGCUAAAUUGUGUACAGUACUAGCUUCCCUGCUGUGUAGCAGCUUCCCUGCACAAGUCCCUUGACCCUAUGGACGAGUUGGCAGUGGAAUCCUUCAUUGGAGGGAGAAAGAUCCUAUUCAUUUGCUUUGACCCGGUGACUGACAAACCCAGUUGGGUUUCAGAGGGAAUUUGGAGUUAUCUCUGAAAUGCUAUUGCAUAUACUAGCUAAGGCGUUAGUUGCUUGGAAUGAAUAGUGGACAAUAGCCUUUGAUCAGAUUAGCACUGUGUAGAUUCUCUAUGAUCGAGGAACCAGUAAAUCUUCCUUGUUUCCCAAAAGCUCCUGCAGAUUAAAUGUCACAAUAUGCCUCGAGCACUGCUAGAGGAAGAUGAAGGGCAAAUCUGACCAAGCACAGGUAAGAGCCUUCAUUAAAACUUACCUGGAAGCAGAAACAACAGCAAAGCAAGCUCACUUCUUGGCUCUUAUUGCACUUGCAGAUAAGGUAACCAUCAGUCCUCUUUCAGAUGACCACAUCAGUUUCAUUUAAUUAGCCCUGAGGAAAAAGCACACUUGGACUGGUGUGCUCUGCCACCUGUAUUUUAGAUGCCCUACCUCAGGGG